rnacentral:lncRNA from 1 species
GCCCAGUUUCUCGGUCAUAGACAACUCGGGCGUCAACUACUUUACCAUGCUCGCUGAACAACUGCACCAAUUUAGAGUCAUCCACUUGCCAUGGCAGGUUGCCCACAUAAAUCCUGAAAGAAGGCCCAAAUUGUCUGGGAGAUCUUUCUCUUUCCACACGAGAGCCUCUAGGAGCUGCUUUAUUUACAGUCAGAAGCCUUCCAUUGACAUCCUGUCCACAUAAACAGGUACUCAGCAACUCAUGUAACUGUAUAUUCUUAAAUUGUACUGGGACAUCCACAUCCAUAUAGGAUAGAAUCAUGAAAUUUCGAUAUGUGUGUGUGAUAGCACUCAUGCAUAGCAUAUAGAUGAAGUAAGUCAGUAUAAAGUAUUGAAGUUCACUUACAACAAAGCCUUCACUUGAACAGCACACAAACAGGCAUGUAUGUCUAAAAUCAAAGUCCUUACAGGCAUGUGCUAUGGGUUGGCCGUACAGGAGCUAGAAGAUUAGGAGCACUUCUCCAGCUCCUCCCUUGUUCCAAGCCAUUGCAUGGGACUAUGGGACGGGAGCAAGGAAAAGAUACUUAGGUCCAGCUCAAGUUGAAGCUCUGGUGCCAGAAACAUUGAAAACUAUAUUUUCCAACACUAGUUGAGACAGCAGCAACAUAAGCACAGGGGAAAGGUGGGGAAGUGCUGACUUUGUUACUUGUUCAAUGGCUUGUGGGUCCUACAAGAGGGGCUAGCACAUUGCAUGAAUUUUUAGUACAGAUGAAUUUGCUGGUGUGUCAGUUAGAUCCUCACACACCACUGCUCAUGCCCUAGGAAUGAGAAAAAUAUACCCCUAUGCCUUAGCAAUCUAUUAAUGUUUACAUGAACCAUAUUUAUAUGCAAGCUGCGAACAGCAUUCGAUGCAUAACACAGGUGUGCAAAUUAGUAGUUAACAAUGGUUAAAUGAAUUGUAACUAGCAUAAGCAAACAAGGCUAUUGUAACCAUAACUAAAGUACUAAACCCAGAAUUUAUCAAGAAAAACAGCUCCAUCAAGUCAUCAAAUACACUCACAUAGCGAUGGAACAUCUCCACUGCCUUCUCAGCCUCCUCAACAGUACUCAUGGUGACAAAUCCAAAUCCACGGCUCCGAUCUGUUUCUCUGUUGUAAAUGACCUGCAUAGCAACAAAGUAAGUUUACUUCAGAGCACAUAAGCAAACUCUUUUUUCAAGCCAGGGGGAACAGGAAGUCAGGAACACAUAUAUCCUCGAACGAGCAAACCAUGAAUAUCCUUGAACUAGGAGCAUCAUAAAAAAAUCCAUUAAACGCCUGACCUAACAGAUACAGCUAGGUAGGCACCUCCAUAGUGUGCAGAGGUUGGAUGAGCAACAAGUGUCAAGUGUACAUGUUCAGUGUCUUAGGCUGACAAUUUGUGCUGAAAGCUAAACAAGGCUUAGGGCCAUUUUGCUUAACAGCACAUAACAGGUUUUUAAUCACCUAGCCAAAGAUGCUGUUCUGAUAAGAACCUUUAAUCACAGCAAUAUCUCAACACACAACAAGAACAUCUCAUGAAGCAAUACCACAUUACAACAUACCGGAACCUAAAAUAUCUGAAGGAAUAAGGUCAUAAUUCGGGCAAGUAGGCUAAAGUAGCUGCACGUUUGCAACUCCAAAAGUGCAUUUCGCUACUCUUGCGUAGCGGCAUAAAGACAUUCGCACUACCUGACUAAAAGUGAAGCCGCUCCAGAAUGGAGGCAGCGGAGCCAGUCAGAAGUUUAAAUUGAGGCAAUUUUUAUGCAUGGCGUAUAAAAAUUAAGGAGGCGGAACCGCGGAAGCAACGGCUAGUCUCACCUCCGCGACCUCGACGACGCCGGCCUGCUCGAAGAGCUGCGCGAGGCGCUCGCUGUCGACGUCGUAGGGCAGGUUGCCGACGUAGACCUUGGCCUCCUCUGGCGGCUCGACGUACUCCCCGACCUCCUCCUCCUCCUCGACGGCAGCGUCCUCCUCCUCCUCCUCCCCCGACGCGAACGCCUCCUCCUGCUCCGACUCGGCCCCGUCGGCGGCGGUCGGCUCCGCGUAGUCGACGCCGACGGAGGACUCGAAGGAGUCGGAGGCGGCGAGUGGGGCGAGCGGUAGGCGGCGGGCGGAGCGGAGGCGGAGCAGGCGCGGGGGCGUCGGGGCGAGGAGGACGAGGAAGGGGGAGGUGGGGGUGGUGGGCUUCGUGAGGGAGGCGGAGGUGCUGGCGGAAGCGAGGGCGCGGAGGGACGCCGCGACGGAGGAGGCCAUGGUGGCGCCGC